AUUGAACGCUGGCGGCAUGCCUUACACAUGCAAGUCGAACGGCAGCACGGGAGCAAUCCUGGUGGCGAGUGGCGAACGGGUGAGUAAUAUAUCGGAACGUGCCCGAGAGUGGGGGAUAACGCAGCGAAAGCUGUGCUAAUACCGCAUACGAUCUCAGGAUGAAAGCAGGGGACCUUCGGGCCUUGUGCUACUAGAGCGGCUGAUGGCAGAUUAGGUAGUUGGUGGGGUAAAGGCUUACCAAGCCUGCGAUCUGUAGCUGGUCUGAGAGGACGACCAGCCACACUGGGACUGAGACACGGCCCAGACUCCUACGGGAGGCAGCAGUGGGGAAUUUUGGACAAUGGGCGAAAGCCUGAUCCAGCAAUGCCGCGUGCAGGAUGAAGGCCCUCGGGUUGUAAACUGCUUUUGUACGGAACGAAAAGCUUCUCUCUAAUACAGGGAAGUGAUGACGGUACCGUAAGAAUAAGCACCGGCUAACU
rnacentral:rRNA from 1 species